rnacentral:tRNA from 3 species
GCCCCCGUCGCGCAACCGGCAGACGCACGGUGCUCAAACCACCGACAGUGUGGGUUCGAAUCCCACCGGGGGCA